UCUAAUACCGGAUAGGAGCGUCCACCGCAUGGUGGGUGUUGGAAAGAUUUAUCGGUUUUGGAUGGACUCGCGGCCUAUCAGCUUGUUGGUGAGGUAAUGGCUCACCAAGGCGACGACGGGUAGCCGGCCUGAGAGGGUGACCGGCCACACUGGGACUGAGACACGGCCCAGACUCCUACGGGAGGCAGCAGUGGGGAAUAUUGCACAAUGGGCGCAAGCCUGAUGCAGCGACGCCGCGUGAGGGAUGACGGCCUUCGGGUUGUAAACCUCUUUCAGUAG
rnacentral:rRNA from 1 species